CCCUAGUAGCGGCGAGCGAAGCGGGAAGAGCUCAAAUUUAUAAUCUGGCACCUUCGGUGUCCGAGUUGUAAUCUCUAGAAAUGUUUUCCGCGUUGGACCGCACACAAGUCUGUUGGAAUACAGCGGCAUAGUGGUGAGACCCCCGUAUAUGGUGCGGACGCCCAGCGCUUUGUGAUACAUUUUCGAAGAGUCGAGUUGUUUGGGAAUGCAGCUCAAAUUGGGUGGUAAAUUCCAUCUAAAGCUAAAUAUUGGCGAGAGACCGAUAGCGAACAAGUACCGUGAGGGAAAGAUGAAAAGCACUUUGGAAAGAGAGUUAACAGUACGUGAAAUUGUUGGAAGGGAAACGCUUGAAGUCAGACUUGCUUGCCGAGCAAUCGGUUUGCAGGCCAGCAUCAGUUUUCCGGGAUGGAUAAUGGUAGAGAGAAGGUAGCAGUUUCGGCUGUGUUAUAGCUCUCUGCUGGAUACAUCUUGGGGGACUGAGGAACGCAGUGUGCCUUUGGCGGGGGUUUCGACCUCUUCACACUUAGGAUGCUGGUGGAAUGGCUUUAAACGACCC
rnacentral:rRNA from 1 species